CUAGUAAUCACAAAUAAAACAAUGGGUGAGAUCUAUAAAGCGCACUCAGACUUUGCUUAAACUUAAGACAAAGUUAAAACGAGACAGAUAUACCUAUAUCUCUGACAUAAAUCUCUCUCGUUUUAACUCAAUCUUAAGUCUAAGCAAAGUCAAAGUGCGCUCUAUAAAUCUCACCC